rnacentral:misc_RNA from 1 species
AACAAAUCCCUUAUUUUUUCUCAAAUCAUCCCCAUUUUUUUCUGUUGGAUUCUUCAUCACUCUGCCUGUCAACUGGCAUGAUAUGAGGAAGAACUCUAACACGUGAAUAUAGCUGGCGACAGUUGUGGGAUUUGAUAUCGAACUUCCCCUGCUCCUUCUGUGUGUGGCGUCCACGGGAGGCAAUCUUUUAACUUUUCGAGUUGAGGAGUUUGUAUUGAAUAACAAGCUCGACAGAAUGGCAUCAACCUUUGUGAAGUCUAGUAAGAUGAAGAGGAUGGAGUCGAAGAAAUCACACGCUUGGUGGUGGGAUAGCCACAUUA